rnacentral:rRNA from 1 species
UACGUAGGGUGCAAGCGUUGUCCGGAAUUAUUGGGCGUAAAGAGCUUGUAGGCGGUUUGUCGCGUCUGCUGUGAAAUUUCGGGGCUCAACCCCGAACUUGCAGUGGGUACGGGCAGACUAGAGUGUGGUAGGGGAGAAUGGAAUUCCCGGUGUAGCGGUGAAAUGCGCAGAUAUCGGGAGGAACACCGGUGGCGAAGGCGGUUCUCUGGGCCUGACCUGACGCUGAGGAGCGAAAGCGUGGGGAGCGAACAGG